GGGUUGGGCUGUUCGCCCAUUAAAGCGGUACGCGAGCUGGGUUUAGAACGUCGUGAGACAGUUCGGUCCCUAUCCUCUGUAGCCGUAGGAGAUUUGAAGAAGGCUGUCCCUAGUACGAGAGGACCGGGAUGGACGAAGCUCUGGUGUGCCAGUUGUUCCGCCAGGAGCAUGGCUGGUUGGCCACCUUCGGAAAGGAUAAGCGCUGAAAGCAUCUAAGCGCGAAACCUGUUCUGAGAUGAGAUCUCCCACUGGAUAACCAGGUAAGGCCCGUGGAAGACCACCACGUUGAUAGGCCGGAUGUGUAAGCGCAGUAAUGUGCUCAGCAGACCGGUACUAAUCGGCCGAGGGCUUGGGCUCA
rnacentral:rRNA from 1 species